rnacentral:sRNA from 1 species
GACAAGGGAGUAGACAACUGUUCCUGAGGGAAAUCUGGGAAGGGUUCAUGGAGCUGAUUCCAGAGGGGUGACUACCAUAUUGAUGUCUGUAUCAAUGACUACCUGGAUGUUUUCUGCCCUCACUAUGAGGACUCCGUCCCAGAAGAUAAGACUGAGCGCUAUGUCCUGUACAUGGUGAACUUUGAUGGCUACAGUGCCUGCGACCACACUUCCAAAGGGUUCAAGAGAUGGGAAUGUAACCGGCCUCACUCUCCAAAUGGACCACUGAAGUUCUCUGAAAAAUUCCAGCUCUUCACUCCCUUUUCUCUAGGAUUUGAAUUCAGGCCAGGCCGAGAAUAUUUCUACAUCU